rnacentral:lncRNA from 1 species
CGGGACGAAUCUUUUGAGCCUAAUUAGUCUAUAAUUGGACACUAGUUGUCAAAUAAAACAAAAAUGCUACAGUACAUAUUAAAAUUUAACAACACUAACCAAACACCCCUUAAUUUAUUUCUCUGAUCUACACUUACAGGCCUAAUGCAUCCAGCAAAAAUCUGCAUAGGGAGUGACCCUAUGCGUUUAGCUCACUACUGCAAUCGCCACAAAUACAAGAAGGUAUACCUAAACGUGAAAAGAACUAUGCAUAGAGUACGACUACUAGCUAGUUAGACUGUUAAAUAAUUUCUUGAAGAUCUAGGAGUUAACUGUAAAAAGAAAAAAAAUUAACUCGUAGAUCUUCCCCAACUACCCUCCUUCCUUGCUAGCCUCCACUGCCCCCUAGAUUGCCGGCAAACUCUCUAACAACCCCACCAUUGCCACCAUCUACCCCGUCACCACACACCUCAUCCACCACCCAUACGACCGACGCCACCAUGACACUUCGCCCAUCUCUCACCCCACUGGCGCACUCUCCUCGUCCUCCCCUAAUCUUGUUGCAGAUGGAAUAAUCAACUCUGGACACAUGUCCGUGCAUUGUUGGUGUUGGGCCAUUGUGCACGAUAGAGUACUAAGUAGUUGGCAAAUUAUAUGCCUUGAAAGGGACAUGAGAAAAUACCCCAAUUAAUAAUACUCACAGCAGUGCCACAUGACAAAAUAAUUGCUGGUGUUGGAUUGGACCAGUGCAGCUCAACAAGGUUCAGCACCACAUGUGUGCCAUCCGCUCUCUGAUGUUGACCAUGCAUGGCAACGGCAUGUGGGUCUAUAUAUAACACCUCAACUCCAGCCUCGAAAGCGGCUGUUUCAAAACUGGUGUGGCUUGAUGUGGAACGAAAUAAAAACUUGUGAGUUCGAUGGCUUGAUGCUUAUAGCAUAGGAAAAAACGAAAUGAAAGGAACGGUUGGGCCAAUACACACUAAUAUUUAUCGAACUGAUCAAAGGACAAAGCGAGAUUGAAUAUGUCAAUACGACACUGCCGCAGGUUGCUACGAUGUAUUAAUUCUAGCCUGUGGUAGACUUAUCCUAAAUUAUUUAUUAUUCUUACUUCUAAUAAUUUCUCUUUUUUCAGUAGAUCUCUAUGUUAAUACCUUUUCCUCGUUUUCUUUUGUGCAGCAUACAUUUCUCAUUUUAUUAAUUUCUAUGUGUAGAUCUAAAACGACAAAUAUUAUGAGACGGAGGGAGUAUUGUGUU